CGUGUAGGCGGCUUGGUAAGUCAGAUGUGAAAGCCCAGGGCUCAACCCUGGAAGUGCAUUUGAUACUGCCGAGCUUGAGUAUGGGAGAGGAGAGCGGAAUUCCCAGUGUAGAGGUGAAAUUCGUAGAUAUUGGGAGGAACACCCGUGGCGAAGGCGACUCUCUGGACCAAUACUGACGCUGAGACGCGAAAGCGUGGGGAGCAAACAGGAUUAGAUACCCUGGUAGUCC
rnacentral:rRNA from 1 species